CCUUAAGGAUGAAGUCAAAUUUAAUAUUAUCGAUAUCGACUUCAUCCUUAAGGUAUAGGAAUACAAAUGGCUGCAAGCUGCAAGAGAUAUCACAUGAGGUUACAGAAAAGCCCCAGUCAUCCCGACUGUCACUGCGGUACAAUUCAGCAGAUCUCACACAUGAUGCAAUACAAGACCUAGUUACCUAAACAGCUUGAUGUUCCCAUCCACGAUUCCUGCAAAUCAUAUCAAAUUGUAAUCACUAAAAUAUCGAAAUGUAGAACAACUAAUUUUCCAAUAUUCGUACUUUUUUUACUACUUACUUUCUGUACAUUUUGUACAUUGGCACGCAAUUGAUUGCAAUAAUUUCCUAAAUACAUACAUAA